rnacentral:rRNA from 1 species
UACGGGGGGAGCAAGCGUUGUUCGGAUUUACUGGGCGUAAAGGGCGCGUAGGCGGCCAGCACAAGUCAGUUGUGAAAUCUCCGUAGCUUAACUCGGAAAGGUCAACUGAUACUGUGCGGCUAGAGUGCAGAAGGGGCAACUGGAAUUCUUGGUGUAGCGGUGAAAUGCGUAGAUAUCAAGAGGAACACCUGCGGCGAAGGCGGGUUGCUGGGCUGACACUGACGCUGAGGCGCGAAAGCUAGGGGAGCGAACGGG